rnacentral:tRNA from 4 species
GCACCCAUAGCUCAGCUGGAUAGAGCGCUGCCCUCCGAAGGCAGAGGCCAGGGGUUCGAAUCCCUUUGGGUGCGCCA